AGUUUUCAGAGUAUAUUCUAUUUUAAUAGACUAAUGGCUGGUGAGUCGUCAAUCACUAGCCU
rnacentral:sRNA from 1 species